AUUACAGAAACAUGGAUACUUAUUCAAUGUCAUCAUCAAAAAUCAUUCUUGGAUGAAGCUGAUGCAGACUGAGGGAACAGACAGUGCUCAUCUAUAGCCUUUCAAGCAUGUUGGUUUUAUAGACACAAAUUAUUGAAUCUUCAGAAGGAAGAGGGAGGAAAGUUGCCUUUGUCCCUAACAGUUUUGGUGAGCCCAGGCAGGAGAACAAGUCACUCUGCUCAGUUUAGAGGCUGUAAAUGGGACCCUGGGACAACUAACAAAAAAGCCAGCCAAGAAAGCUAUCUACAGUUUACGGGAAUAUGGGAAGGUGUACUUUUGUGUGCAGAAUUGAAAUUUUUUUUUCUCCCUACCUGAUCCCUCCAGAGUUUGGAGACUAUUUGUGAGAAAAAAUGUCACUUCCUGAGAGGCCCUGGAACCUGAAUAUAUUUUUGGGAACCUUGAGAAGAGAAGUAUUCACUCAAGUUUAAAGGUAUUACAGGCACAAUUUGAGGGUGACUCCUCCUUGGAUUGGCUUCCCAGCCUCAAGAGGCUUUCAAAAGUUUAAUCUGAGAUUCCUUGUGAAAAGUUCCAGCAAAGCAAAAUUGAAAAUGAGCUUAUAUGAUUAAUCAUCAUUUUGCUGUACUUCUGUAAAUUAUUAGGCAAAGUAUAACAAGCCUAAAACUUAUUUUGCAAACAAAUUAGUUUUAUUGUGAUUAACUUUGGUAAAAAGGGGGGAACUCGAGAGAGAAAAAUUAUGACUUAAAAGAAAACUACAGUGUAUCUGUUAUUAGAUUCUAGCUCUGUUCAUUUUUUUGAGAUUUUAUUAUUUACCUACAAUUUAGACUGGAUUCUGAAAUUGUUAGUUUCCUCUAAUGUCUGACUGCAACUCUCCAAAAUAACAUUUUCACUUUUUUCUCCAAUUUUUUUCUGACUUGGAAUCACUGAAAUUAAAUGUGCCUUUUUCUUGAAGCCCUGAAAGCUGAAGCUGGUUGACUCCAGAUAAAUCACAAUAACAACUUAAAAUCUGUCAGAUUGUCACUGUCUAUCCACACUUCAACUGAAGAUGUUUUGAGGCCAAAUCUAGAAAUCUUUUCAACUGCUAGACUCAGAACUAGUUUAUAUGCUGCUUCAAUUAUUAACUUUUGUCUUUCUUUUGUUUCUUUAGAGAAGCCUCAUAUUAAAAACUUGUUUGCUUACACCAUGUAGAGACUUAACUGUGGGAACCCUGCAACACCACUUCCUAAAAUGAGACAUUUUUCUACUUAUUCCAAUAUAUGUUUUUCUUCCCUUUGCUAAUGUCUUAUCUCAAAAUGUCUAAAGCAAAUUUUCCACAGUUAUCAAUCCUAUUUUAAUAUGUAAAACUUUCUGAAAAUAAAUUUCAAAGAGGGGACUGUGGGAAACCAAAAUAUGCCAUCCAAAGCGUGCCUCUUUGGCAUAUUUUGAGAUGGCUAUUCAGAGGGUCUGCAGACACAAAGCAUGGCUCUGAAAAUUUAUCCUUUUGUAAAAUAAAUUUACAUGUAUAUAUUAAUAAAGCAAACAAGGGAUGCAGGCAGACGGUUUCUCUGAGGUCCUUUUAUUUGAAUCUAGGAAAGAUUAACUCACAGGAAAAGAAGACUAAAGACAGGUUUGACACUUUUAAAGGUCUGACAGAGAAACUAUUACCACAGGUUACCAUCUACUCUUUUUGAGGGCUAUUACCUGAUAGACCUUCUCUGCACAAUGAAACAACAGCCUUUGUUCACAGUGCAUUCUUCCCCUUACCCUUCCAUAACCUGUCACCACAGCCUCCAGGAGCUUCAGGCCUCUUUUUCUUUCUGUAUCAUAUAAAAACCUUAGGCCCUUCUUUGAGUCCUGUAUUUUGUGUAGCUCCCUGUGCACGUGCAUGUAAUAAAUUUGUAUGCUUUUUCCUGUGAAUCUGUCUGUUUGGUUUAUAGGCUCAAAUUAUCUAACCUUCAGAAGGGGUAAGAAAAAUUCCCUUCACUCCUAAACCAACUUAUUAUCUAGAAAAUUAUGAUGUACAUGAACCCCAGCACUGCUUAUGGGUCUCUGAUGGGGCGAAUUCUUCAGGAAUGAGGGAGUAUUGGCUGGAUGGGCAAAACAGGAAAGUGUGAGAGGUGUUUUGAGAUACCAUAAUAAUUGAGGGAAGAUACGAAAGAGCAAGAAACCAAAUGGAGGCAGAUAUAUUGGAGUGAUGUAGUUUUGGCUGUUAAGUGGGACUGGAGAAAAAAGUUUGCUAUCCUACACCUUCAACACCUUCAGUUUGAUUUAUUGUAUCAAAAUUUGAACAGGCUGUACCAACUUACAAUGAGAUCUAUUCUCCACAUCUUAAAAACUUUUUAAUGGGAUAGUUUUACUACAAUAAAAAUAAAUUGUGUUUUCAAGUAGAAAAGAUCAUUUGUUCUAUCUUCAAAACAUAUUACUGACUAAAAGCAAGCAGGAGGUAUAGUAAAUAAGCUCUUAUUGAAAAGACAAGUCUCAGGAAAAAGUAGACAUAGUUUUAGGCUAUUUUUCCAUCUCACUAGGGUGUUAGCCCACACAAAACAAGCUACAGAGAUUAUUUUCACCCUCACGUUGUUACAUAGUUGUUGUUGGAAUAAUCACAUGGGGAGCAAUCAAUGCCACAAAAAUGUUUCAAUACAGAUGUGUUUUUCCUCUGAGUUUUGAGUGAAUUAGGGUACAGAUAAAUGAACCUGCACAGGGGAGGAGAAACUACUACAGUGUAUUUUCUUCAAAUAGACCAGGGUUCAAUUUGAUUUGGAGUUUAGCAAAUUAAACGCAAGAGAUAAAGAAACAUUGAGUGUUUGCUCUCAAUUCUGGUAUGAGACAAAAUGAGGUAGUAGCAGGAUACUGAAAAUUAUUUUUGGGAUAUGUGAGGUGAGUGUUACCCCUUGUUAUCAUAUUAAGACAGAUAUAGGGCCUUGGAUCUGGGGUCUCAGCAAACUUGAAUCCUUUGCAUAAGGGAAUAGUUUGAAUUUGAACCAAUGGAGCCUGUUAUUUCAAUUUGUGUCCUUGUUUGGGCACAAGCCUUUUUUUUUUUCUUUUCUUUUUUUUUUUUUCAGUUGACUUCCACAAGUGAUUACUGAGUGGCAAGCAUGUACCAGGUACCAUGCUAGGCAGAGGCAGUAAAAUGAUGAAUAAAACACAGCAGAAUUUACAGUUUGGUGGGAUAGCAAAACACAGAAAUAGAUAACUCAGUAUAAUGUGGUGAAUGCUAAGAGACUUAGCUCAAAUCAGCUUGUUUUGAAAAUUUUAACUGUUGCCAAGCUACUAGUAAAUGAGUUCAAAUUGUCCACUUUAGCCUUCUAAACCCUGAUUGUUUCUGUGCAGUUUUAAUUCUCAUUACUAUACUGUGUGAUCUUUCUGAUUCAGAUCCAAACAGAUUUCUCUUUUAUGAGCCUUAUUGUCUCCCAUUUCUCACCUUGGAUCUUGAAGCCAUAGUAACAUCUUUCUCACAUUCUUUUCUCUUUUAUCUCUAUCCAUCUUUCCUAACCCAGGUUAAUUCCUUGGUCUUUUGCAAUACCAUAUUAUAUUCACUGAUUUAUUAUUAACAUGUCUAAAAUGGAAAUUUUCAUUCUUGAAGCCAGUUUUCUUCCUCAUAAAUCUUCUCCCAUCUCAAGAAAUGGAAGCUUCUAUUUUUCUGCUUAGGCCAAAAUUCUGGAACCUCUCUUUGUUGAAUGCCACAUAUCUACUCCAUUAGUGAAUUCUGCCUAGUAAACCUCCAAAAUAUAUCCAGAUUUUGACCACUUCUCUCUGCCCCCUCACACACACACACAUACACACACACACACACACACACACACACACACACACACACAGGCCCAAAGCCACUGUGAUCUGAAUAACCUUCUGAUUCUUCUGUUCUCUCCAUGUUUGCGCUCCUCCAAUCUAUUCAGAGUGCAUAAGUAAUUCUUUUAAAACCUAAGUUAGAUCAGGUUCCUUCUUGGCUUAAAAUUUUGAAGUCUCACCAUGGCUUAUAAAUCCCUCUGUAAUCUGUGCCUUUCCCUCCUCCAGCAAGUCUUUCAACUUCGUUUCUUU
rnacentral:lncRNA from 10 species